UUGGCAAUUGAGUAUUUAAAAAUCAAUCAGUGCAGAAUGGAUACUAACGAUAGAUACAUGUGUAGAUUAAUUGGACUUUAUAAGUUGUGAUAUUACAUUCCAAGGAAUCGUGAUAAUCAGCAGCAAUUGCUGGCGAGACUCCGGGUGUGGUAGGUUCCGUUCUUCUUUAGGGCCUCGACUUUAUGACAAUGUCGCGUAUGUUAUAUCGCCACCACGCAACAUCUCAGAGGGGGAGAGGAGGAAGGAAAAGCUCUUUUUCCGCAAGACUAUGAAAAGCCCGUGGGGAGCGGAAGAAGUGGCUGGAACUAAUGAGACGAUAUCAUCUCCUCCAUCGACCUCCUAUUAAAAAAUUAUUAAAUAACGGUCGAUAAAAGACCUGCAAAUGAAAAUAUAAAUAAUAAUCCAAAAAA